UUAGUUAAAUAUUUUAAUAGAAGGCUACUUUGAUGCAAAUAGAAAAUGCACUAUGAAAAAAUAUUCUUUUCAAUGUAUAACUCAAUUGUAACUUUUUAGGAGGGAAGUACAGAACAUGUUGGAAAGACUUGGAGUUAAGUUUAACCAAGUUCUUCUUGGAAAGAGGAAAAGAUUGGAAAUGUAUGCUGAGGCUUCUCUUAAAAGAAGUUAUCAGAAAAUUGAGCAUAUUUGGACAACAUAUAAAGAACAAAGGCAGAAACUCAACCGUGAAUAUUCUCAGCACUUCCUGACAUUGUUUCAGCAGUGGGAUCUGGAUAUUAAGAAAACUAAGGAAGAGGAAGCAAAAUUAGCUAAUAUAUUUAAACAACAACUAAAGAUUUUUCAACAAGCCAGAAUGAUUCGGAUCCAGAGACUGAACGAGAUUAAACACCUAUAUGAAAAGUUCUCAAAGGUCUGGUAUAUGCAAGAUCUUCAUACAUUUUUAAAACUUAAUUUCAACAUUAACAGUUUUCUGAAUUGAUGGGAAAUGUUUACCAAAACUCUUAUUUCAAUACUUCAUCAUGUCCUAGAGUUUACCCUUGUCUUUCUAUGUUGCUGAAGUACAAACUCUGACAUUUUAUGAACUCAUAUAAUAAAAAAUAAUAAGUGCC